UAGACAGGUCUCUCCUGGGACAGAACCACC
rnacentral:piRNA from 1 species